UACCAAAGAGGGACUGCCAGCCUAUGGAUCUGAUUGUUCUUGUGUGCCAUAUGGGAAAAUGACUGGUGGGCCUGCUUUUCUCCUUUACAACCAGCAUUAAUUGGCAUCUUUGUACCCUGAUUGAAAUGGUUUUAAGGUUCCAGUAACCCUUUCAAUGGGAAACACGGUGCAGGCUGAUUCUUAUCGAAUGAAAAAAAUGUAGGGAAAUCUCAGAAACUUUACGAUCCUAGUAACAUUUGACCAAGAACUUUCAUGGACACAGAAUCAUUUAUUAUAUUUGUUGAUAAGGUAAGAGAAGAAUCCACAAAGCUUGGAGAUUAGCAUUUCUAUAUUUUGCCCCAAGAAACAGAGGAGCCCUAUAGAAAAAGGUGAAGCAUAUUCCCAGAUAACUAUGGAAAACAGAGUGCAGGGGUCAUUUUCUCCCACUAAUUCUGUUACCAAAACCAAAGUGGGUUUCCUCUUGGCAAGUUAAAUCAAACUGUACACGAGAAGUAUUUGUCUCACAAAAUAAAGUAUAUUUGCAGCAAAUAGGAGACCAUAAAGAUUCAUUUCCAGAGUCAUGGCAUCUCCAAACGAAAGGAAGCAGUGAUAUUUAUUUUGGAUGGCGAAUGAAUACUCAAAAGGCAGAGGUGGGUAUUCGCUUGCGCAGGCUCAGUUGGAAACCCUGCUUCCACAUCCACUGCAGGUUAAGGGAAUAAGGCCUAAACUCCUCCUGGAGACAUCUUAGCAUUAAAAAUAAGGCAAAGGUCAUAGGUGUAGCUCUGUGGUGAGGCUUGGUCUGGUUCAGGGUGGUUGGUGAUUGCAUCUCCUUAACAAAACAAAAGGAAAAAGAACAAUUUGGAAAAACAGUUAAAAUAUCCAAACCCACCAUUGAGUUCCUUGGGAUAAGCAGUGGGUGACAGUUCCUGAGCUAUUUUGGGGAACGAGCGUUUGUCCAUCUUCAAGGACAGGAUCGUGAAAUGUCAAAGGAAGAAUGGACUUUAGAAGGCAUGGAAUUUAGCAUUCUGCUGGGGCAUGAGUCCUACUUAAGGUCUCUCCAAUAACAAGAUUUUUGUCUCUGCUUUAGUACCUUCAAUGAAGAAGCAUUCACUGCCUUACAGGGUUCCAUUUAGACGAGACUAAUUUAAAAGCAUAAAAGCAGACCCUGAAAUAUCCCAGUGCCCUCACCAUGGUAUAGACAGUACUAUCAAAAAUUCCCUAUUCAUAAAUACAAACUCCUUUGUCCAACUAUCUUAAAGUGAAAAUGAUAUUGGAGCUACCUUCAAGUCCCUAUAGAAGUAACCAAUCUUCCUGUCUUAUUUGCAAACAUAUGCAGUACAUAAAUUACCUUAUUUUCAUCCCAGAGGACAAGGGAUUUUUAACAUAUUCCAUGCCGGGAGAAAAGAUCUCCUCUACUCCAAAUCAUGCUCCAGCCUGUCCUACACACAAAAAAAUGUGAAUGCAAUGGCAAGUGCAAAACAUAAAACUCAGUCCUGAAAAUUCAAAAGUUCUAGUUGGUUCCAUGUUCAAAAUGAUCCAUGUGAGCUGAUUGGAAAAAAAUGGCUACAUAAAGUCAUCACAACUAAUGAAACAAGGUAAAUGGCAAAUGAGACCGUCUAUGAUAUUUGAAAUAAAAGCUUAUUUUCUCACGCAAGAUGAACUGUAAUCACUGUAUGUCCAGCUGGAGGUUCUGUACUGCUCCAUUUAAAUAUGACUCCAGACAUGAAAAGAAUUGUCUCUCUCCAUUCUGCAUUUACUCUAAAGAUGGAUAACAAGAAGCAACCAUAUUGCCCCUAGGUUUUCCCUCCUUGUUUAUUUGAAAAAAUGCAAGCAAUCCAUUAAGGUUAAAGAGAUAACAUUAAGGAAUACAACCGUAAUGGUUGUACAUAGAUUACUCUGGCCUGUGCUUAAUCUCGGGCUUUGUUUAACAGAGCUUUUUGAUGUUAAUUAAAAUAAAAUGGGUCCUGGAAGAAAAUGCCUCUCUUCCAGCAAGGAUUGUAUUCAGCUGUUCUCUGUAAUUUUGCCCAUCACACUGCUGGCUGUUGCUUUUUCCACAGCUCUUAAAUGGGGUCUAAAUUGACCAGCUCUGUUGCCAAGGAAACCGACAGGCUGAUGCUAAUAGAAGCUACUUAGGACACACUGUGAAAAGCUUAGAAAUAAAAUUGUUUGACAUAAAAGGCACCGUGUCAGCAGCCAGGCAACUGUGUUAAAGGCUGCACUAAAGCAGAAGAUGGUUACACGUCUCCUCCUAGUCUAUUCCCUCAAAAUCUCCCCUAGAAAAUGGAUUCUGUCCUAGGAGCCUGGACAGCUUUCCCGAUCAGAACCACUUUGUCUUUCUAACUCCAAGUAGAGAAAAAUCAUGUUGUGGUUUCGAAGCACCCAGAAUAGACUUCAAUUUCUGCCCAAGGAAACGAGCUGCUUUUUUCUUCUUCUUCUUUCCAGCAACAAAGUCCUUUCCCCUCAUGAAUAAAUUGCAAAUAUUCUUCUGAAUUUUCUAAGAUUGUUAAUUAAAAUCCACUUGAUUUAAGCUGCUUCUUCCAUUUUGCACUCACAAACCAUAAAUUAUAGAGGAGGUCAAAGAAUGAAUGGCAAUUUGACAUGAAGAGGUUGAUUUAUUGCUUCAGAAGGAGUUUUAUACCAGAUGUGGCAGGAAUCAUAAAUUAAAUGCUAAAUGUUAUGUAUUAUUAUGCUUUCAGGAAUAUAAAUGUGUCUAAAAUGCUAUGCAGGUGGAAUGAUAAAAAUAUGAAUCUACUCUCCUGGCAAUUUUAAAAGGCCCUUUAAAGCUGUCAGAAGGAAAAUAAGCUGAAAAACAAUCUGGAUGAGCCCGUCAGAUGCCUUUUUCAGCACACCCCUGGUUUGUAAAAGUAACCCUUUCCUGUAAUACACUGGACAUUGGCUUGUGGUGGCUUGGAUGGAGGGAGAGAAAAAGAAUUCUUUCAUCUGGAAAAAAAAAAAA
rnacentral:lncRNA from 1 species